CCCUAGCCCCGAUUGAAGUGAAAAUCCCGCAAUGGAGCGGCGGAGCGAAGCGGAGCCGCGUAAUGAGGAAUUGCAAUGGAAAGCGGGAAUAGCU
rnacentral:sRNA from 1 species